CCUACGGGUGGCAGCAGUGGGGAAUAUUGCACAAUGGGGGAAACCCUGAUGCAGCGACGCCGCGUGAGUGAAGAAGUAUUUCGGUAUGUAAAGCUCUGUCAGCAGGGAAGAAAAUGACGGUACCUGACCAAGAAGCCCCGGCUAACUACGUGCCAGCAGCCGCGGUAAUACGGAGGGGGCAAGCGUUAUCCGGAUUUACUGGGUGUAAAGGGAGCGUAGACGGCGGGGCAAGUGUGGAGGGAAAGGCGGGGGCUCAACCCCCGGACUGCUCUGGAAACUGCCAGGCUGGAGUGCAGGAGAGGUAAGUGGAAUUACUAGUGUAGCGGUGAAAUGCUUAGAUAUCACGAAGAACUCCGAUUGCGAAGGCAGCUUACUAAACUGCCACUGACAUUGAUGCUCGAAAGUGUGGGUAUCAAACAGGAUUAGAUACCCCAGUAGUC
rnacentral:rRNA from 1 species